GAGAUUAGAGUCAAAAUUCUAAAAAACAAACAAAAGUCUGAAUACAUUUUUUUUUUUGUAGCUGUGGUACUUCAGCUCUGAUUUGUUCUAUUUCUAGACUUUUGUUCCAUCACAUUUUUAUUUGAGACUCUGGAUAUUUAAAAUUACUCUGGUUUUUGGAGAGUUGCUAUGAUACGCAACCAUGGCAACAAAGGUCAAAUAAUACCAGCGCUGUGGCCCAAAAUCCCACAGGAGUUGAAAUAGAGGCUUCAUGGAUGGAGCAGACAGAGAAGGAGAAAGUUUAAACUAUCUUUACCAUUCAUCAUAAUGGGGGGUAAUAAUAUCCCCACCUCUAGUGCCUUCCUACCAGACAGAGAUUUAAAGAGAAGCAGCAAAGCAAAUGAAGUGGAUUAGCAGUUUUUUGUUAUCCCAGAAAUUGAGCUGCUAGCAGCUAGCACGUCAGAAUACAGCAAGUCUUCAGUCAGAAGCUUCUUCAGACUGACUGCUACUGGAGAGCCAUCCUGCCCACAGCAUUAUCAUCCAAAAUGGCUGAAGAUACGUGAGUGAAAGAAGCUAAGAAAGCUAGCUGCAAUGUUACAAACUUACCUUGUUGCUUUGUGGCAGCUAGCGGCUAAAUGAGUGGAAGCUGCCUACAUGAAGUCUCACCAUAGAGACGGAGCUGGCCGCCACCUUGUAACCCAUAGCAACGCCAUCAGCUGCAGUGGGCGGAGCCGCCGGCGUUGAAGCUUCUGAUUGGCCGAUAACAGGUGUCCUGACAUUCCAUAUAAGGAAGGUGGCGGAAGCAUCGUUCAUUUUUAAAUAUGUCAGGAAUGAACACGCUGGAUAACCCUGCAACAUGUUUAAGUGAGACUGAUUGUGAUCAUUUCAGUGUAACUGACAGGAUGGGACAACAGAGAGCCGUGCAGAUCAUCUCCCACCAGAGUGCACUGCUUCCCUGUAAGUUAAAGGUUGAUUUCUGUGUAUGGUUUCAAAUUUCCAUUCAUGUAACGUUAUCCAGCUCUGGCCACAAGCUGCUACACACCCAGAUAUACGCUCACGUUGACAGCAUCCACCGUUUUCUCAAAAUAUGUAAACAAACAGAUGAAUAUUAAUUAAUUAGAACAUUAUAUAUUAUUCCAGUAAUUCAGUUUAUAUAGUUGAACUAAUAAUUAGUCAUAUUUUCAAACUUUUAGUCAAUUUUGAUGAUUAUGGCUUACACCUAAUUAAGACGCAAAAUUCAGUAACAGUUUUCCUUCUACUAGACUUUCCAUUAUUAGGCUUGCAUAAAAUACUGUAUAAGGAGACAUAGUCUUCAUGAAUUAACAUUUUGCAGAUUUCAUUAGAAAUGUGUGAAAAACUGUCAUUUCGCUAAUGUAGAAAAAACUAUUUUUUAAUUGUGGUGUUUUUGUUAAAUAAGAAACACUUUUAAAAUCGGAUGUGAAUAAGUUUGUUUGCGUAAAAAAAGAUUGUUUUCAUUUCAGUUUUGCAAACUAAACCAAUUUUUAUACGGCCAAAAAACACCGCACUUCAUAUUAGUGGCAAAACUUUUUAACUAAAGACAAGUUUUUUCAAAAAUGAAUUUUUCCAUUAAGUGAAUUUAUUGAAAAAUGUCAAAUUGUGCCAUUUUGUGGUCGAAAAUAAUCCAAAAUUAUUCAUCAGUCGAACACUAAAUAGAAAAACAGAGUCCACCUCUUUCAAAAAUUAUAUUUUUUUUACUAAAUGUUGAGGCAUGGAAUUCAUUCAGGCUGCUGCAGAGCGAGAGAAAGCAAGACUUCAAUUAACGUAAAGGAUACAUUUAUCACCACAAAGUUGUUUAUUUUUGUCCUUUAAAGCUUUUAAACUCCUUCUGUUAUGGAUUAUGCUGGAUUUUAAAGUAUUGGCACCUUUUUGGGAUGAAUUCUUAUUCUCACCUGCUAAUUUUGUUAUGUUAGCUAUGCUAACCGCUGAUGCUAAAUACUCCAUGAUGGUUAUAAUUGUAUUUUAGAACAGCAAAACUCUAUUUUACAGAGACUUAUGUCUCUCACACAGUGUGACAUCACCAUAAUUAACAGAAAUCAGGUGAAAAAGCUAAAAAAUGAUUACAAAACUAACAUUUAACCAAUUGGACCAGAAAUCGUCCAAUAUCUUUAACAAAAAACCAAAACCAAGCCACUCAGGUCAUGUUUAUUGACAAAAUGUUUAUCAAUGUUUUCAAUGUAGCAGGAAAAAAUUAAAGCAAAUGCAUCAUUACAAGAACUUCUCUCAGACCAGUCUUAUGGAGGAAAAUCUCUCUCCACACUUUCCUUUUCCUUCAGCAAGAUUUAUUUUCCCGCUUUUGAAACAUUUUCACGUCAAGCUUGAUUCCCAGUGUGUGCGUUCACAAUCGCUUCUUAGACAGCAGGAAACAAACACGGUUCAAAACAAAAAACAGAAAAGAAUACAAAAUGUAAGGUUUAACUGUAGCAGGAACAAAUACAAGCACCAGCACAAGGGGGCAGCAAACAAAAACAAAACAGGAAGUUAAAAAACAAAACAGGAAGUUACAAGGUUUUCAAUGCAGAGGCAUGCUGAGCUGUUUUGUUGAAUUGUUUCGAUGAGGGAACGGGGAACGUUCUUGAUUUGUUUCUGUUCAACAAGUGCAAAAAAAAAAAAAAAAAAGAGUAAAAAUCACAAUUUCCAUUUAUUUCCUCCUGAAAUAAAAACAUCUGCUAAUGGUGCCGGUUAAACCCAUCAACAAAUUAUAAUACUUUUAUGAUGAUUAUGACUUACAGCCCAUGGAAACAUAAAAUUCAGCUCCUCAGAAAUUUAGAAUAAGACCAAUAAAUCAUUUUAGAAAGAGAAAUAGAAUCAAUUCUCUUUGAAACAAACAUUGAUGGAAAGUUUAAUGGAAGGAAAAAACUUGGAGUGAACUGUUAGAA